CGCACCCUCGAUGUUACGAUCGUUGCGGCACAUCCUCCAGUCGUGAGUUGAUCCGCCACUGGGUAAACCAUUCCGGAAUGACUAAACUGCCUAUCCAGCCACAGAUAAUAACAGGUCAAGGAUGCGCCAAUGAAGGCAUGCCAAGGCAACAGAUCCCUCGAAGUUGUCGUGCAAAACAGGAACAGAUUUGGACGAGAAAACGAUAAGAGAUGCUGCAACGUUGCCAAUUUCUCUGAUUUCCAAAAGAAUCAGAUUUAUUAGAAGAGCAUGCGCGGGCAAAACCAGGUAUCGUCCCGUUUUCAAAUUGAACAACGGGAUUAGCCACGGUUAAUCUUUCAUUUCAUGGUUUGCAGCCGAAUCAUACAAAAUGGCCCAAACCCGGCAGAAGGAUCCACUUUGGUUGGCAAUCAUCAUCCAUUGAAACGUAACCACCAGAUUGCAAUAAUAAGAUCACCACCAUGCAACAAAUCUUUCAACCAAUCUCUUCGACAAUCGUUUUGCAAACGGAUCAAUUAUCGUAAGGCCUGAAGUACCUUUCUUUUACGGGAAGCGAUCUGGUGGUUACCACUUGAAGGGGGAAGAGUUGAUACAGCUGUUGUUCAUUUGGCAGAGAGCUCACUCUCGUUGCAUAUGAAAGGAUGAGCAAGGACCGAGAGGAUCUCCGAGAGGGCCAGGUACGGAACAAACGGAAGAAGUCAUUAUUCGUAUUAAUUGAUGUGUAAAUAGUUGAAACAUAAUCCGGGGUACGAGUGCUUGUGUUUGAGCAUAGGGCCGUACGGUUGAGGUUUCAAUGAGUGGCGGAGCUUCUUUUUGGGAGUCGGAAUGUUUGCUGUUUCGGCGUAACGACAGACUACGUAGACGCUGUAGUUGAGGUGAAUGAAAAUAUUGGAUCACGCUGGAGGUGGUCCGGUUUGUUGUAUUGGAGAAACGCGCGCACACAAACACACAGGGGAAGAUGUUUGCUCUGGAGGUUGAGCGUUCGCCCCGCUGACUGUCAUCUAUGUGUGCAGUCCGUGUUCUUCCUAUGUAGUCACUCUCGGAAAACAUAAGGUCCUGGUGGAAGAAAUGGUGUCCGAACGAUGAUGGUUCUCCUUUCGCACUUGCUAACACAUAAACAUCGCAGCAUGUGGGAAACGUUGGCCGAACAGCCGAGCACAGGGAGAACGAGGCGCGAGCCACGGAAGCCAUCCACGGAAGGCCAUAGAGGUUAGACUCUCCGGUAAGGACCUUUCUCCUGCUCAAGUCCAAGGAGCAAGGACACCGAGGAGGUCUUCGAGACAGAGCAAGCAGCAAGAAGUUGGAGAAGCGAGAUGACAACAGCAAGAGAUAACGUUCCGCGCACGCGAAUACGAAGCGCAUCCUGUGUUCCGUUCCGGUGACGUCAAUGCCAUGCGCAUUUGUUAAUUGGCAAGGAUAUACAAGAGUCCGCGAGUCGUGAGCCAACAAGAGAGCGAAAGAGAGAGAGGGAGAGAGAGAGAGCGAUGGCGCGCUCGGGAAGGAACGAAAUGGACGAGAUCACAUUUAUCGGAAAAGCGAUUGGCCAAAUGCCAAGGAAAACACUCUAAUCCCCGAUUUUCCGAUCUUCGUUCCUCGGAGGUCUCCAAGGGCGUUGGACAGGAGCAGUGGAGCGUAGCGAUCUGAUGAGUCACGGAUGAGGCCGACGGCACUAUUUCUUCAUUACAAGUCCGCAUCAACAUUAGCAAUUCCCACUAUGGAUGAUUCUUCUAUGUCGGUGAGUAAACCAAUCCCAUGAA